rnacentral:sRNA from 1 species
GCUGGGCGUGGUGGCACAUGCCUGUAAUCCCAGCGGCUGGGGAGGCUGAAAUAGGAGGAUCACAAGUUCAAAGCCAGCCUCAGCAACAGUGGUGAGGCACUAAGCAACUUAGUGAGACCCUGUCUCUA